GUCAGAGGAAGUCUUUGUGCUUGGUUUUACUUUAUGUUAGAAACAUAGACAGGUUUUUUUCCUUUUUUAGGGAAAAAAAUUUACAUGUACAGAGAACAAAACUAUAUUUUCAGUUUUACUUUUGUAUAUAAACCUAAGAUGGCCUCACUGAUAAAAAAUAACAAAAAAAAAAAACAACACGAAGCAAAACACACACACAAAAAACCCACAAAAACAAGGAACUUCGAUUUUCUGGAUGCUGAAGAUUCUACACCUGUGCAUUUGUCAUUCGUGAGUUCUGCCCGGUACCCGCAGAGCAGCCGCGUCCUGUCCGUACCUUUUGUAAAGCGGAGCACCCAGAGACGUUUGCAGAGCUGAGCGAGGCAAUGUUCCCACUGACUGAACAGUGUACUGAAGAGGAGCUGAGGAGCAGCCCGCGUCCGUUUCCACCACGGUAUUAAAAUCUUUUUCAUUCACAUAUAAAACCGAUCGUGGCAAGCGUGGUAAGACAGGAUCUGGCAUCUUGCUGCCCGCGCUUGGAGAGUGAGGCCGCCUGGUGAUGUCUUCCACUCCUCCUGCGUUGCCCCGAAGGGAAGGAAGGCUGCUCAGUUUGCUGCUGCCAUCUCCAACCUCGUUGCUCUGCAAAGAAGGGAGAGAAAUGUUCCCGAAACUCUUUGCGGUGUGAAUCCCAUAUGCUUUGAGUAUUCAUGUUUCACGCUGGGGUGUGCUGUAUAGUCGAUAAUCUCUGUGCCUCUGACCACAGUUAACGUGACUUGGUAGAAGUCUCAGUCUUUCUCAAAGUUCCCUGCAAAUGGAGCUCCGAUCUCCCCCGUCAGGUUGCUGAUGAGAAGAGCUGCUGCAAAGUGCUGCAGUGCGUGCCUGCUGAUGUGGGGCAGCCGCGGUCCUUCGGUGGUGGUUUGUGACCCUGAGUUCCUGCAGGGGAGGGGUGGGGGUGGGUGCUCCGUAUGGGGUCAGGGUGUGCACACAGCGUGGGCUGGACGUGGCUUUGGGUCCUGGUGAGCAUUACUGCUGCGUUGUAAGGGAAUAAACCACCACAUUGAACUCCA
rnacentral:lncRNA from 1 species